rnacentral:rRNA from 1 species
AUACGGAGGGUGCAAGCGUUAUUCGGAAUCACUGGGCGUAAAGGACGCGUAGGCGGGUUGGCAAGUCAGAUGUGAAAUCCUACAGCUUAACUGUAGAACUGCAUUUGAAACUGCUAACCUAGAGUAUGGGAGGGGGAGAUGGAAUUAGUGGUGUAGGGGUAAAAUCCGUAGAUAUCACUAGGAAUACCGAAAGCGAAGGCGAUCUCCUGGAACAUAACUGAUGCUAAGGCGUGAAAGCGUGGGGAGCAAACAGGAUUAGAAACCCUAGUAGUCC